UGGCUCAGACAGUAAAGCGUCUGCCUACAAUGCAGGAGACCCAGGUUCGAUCCCUGG
rnacentral:tRNA from 1 species